rnacentral:rRNA from 1 species
GAUGAACGCUAGCGAUAGGCUUAACACAUGCAAGUCGAGGGGCAGCAUGGUCUUAGCUUGCUAAGACUGAUGGCGACCGGCGCAUGGGUGCGUAACGCGUAUGCAACUUGCCUCACAGAGGGGGAUAACCCGUCGCAAGACGGACUAAUACCGCGUACACUCCAUCUUGGGCAUCCAAGGUAGAGGAAAUGAAACUCGCUGUGAGAUAGGCAUGCGUCCCAUUAGCUGGUUGGUGAGGUAACGCCUCACCAAGGCGACGAUGGGUAGGGGAACGGGGAGGUUGAACCCCCAGACUGGUGCUGAGACACAGACCACAAUCCUACGGAAGGGAGGGGUGAGUAAUAUAGGUCGAUGAGCGAGAGCCUGAACCAGCCAAGUCGCGUGAAGGAUGACUGGCUUAGGAAUAGUAAACUUCUUGUAAACGGGAAUAACAUGAGUCACGUGUGACUCCCUGCAUGUACCGUAUGAAUAAGCAUCGGCUAACUCCGUG